GAUGAAGAACGUAGCGAAAUGCGAUACGUAAUGUGAAUUGCAAAUUCAGUGAAUCAUCGAGUCUUUGAACGCACAUUGCGCCCCCUGGUAUUCCGGGGGGCAUGCCUGUCCGAGCGUCAUUGCUGCCCUCAAGCACGGCUUGUGUGUUGGGCCCCGUCCUCCGAUCCCGGGGGACGGGCCCGAAAGGCAGCGGCGGCACCGCGUCCGGUCCUCGAGCGUAUGGGGCUUUGUCACCCGCUCUGUAGGCCCGGCCGGCGCUUGCCGAUCAACCCAAAUUUUUAUCCAGGUUGACCUCGGAUCAGGUAGGGAUACCCGCUGAACUUAAGCAUAUCUAAGCGGAGGA
rnacentral:misc_RNA from 1 species